rnacentral:rRNA from 1 species
UAAACAGAGAUAGUACAAACACAAAACUAUCCGCCAGAGAACUACAAGCGAAAAGCUCAAAACUCCAAGGACUUGGCGGUGCUUCAUAUCAACCUAGAGGAGCCUGUCCUAUAAUCGAUACCCCACGCUAAACCUUACCGCUCCUGGCCAACCAGCCUAUAUACCGCCGUCGUCAGCCUACCUCAUGAGAGAAAUAAAGUGAGCAAAAAAGUUAAUAACUAACACGUCAGGUCAAGGUGUAGCACAUGAAGCGGCAGAGAUGGGCUACAUUUUUUCAAAGAUAAAAUACGAACAGUGAACUGAAACACACACUUGAAGGAGGAUUUAGUAGUAAGACCGAGAAUACUACCCGUCUAAAACCUGCUCUGAAGCGCGCACACACCGCCCGU